rnacentral:rRNA from 1 species
UACGUAGGGUGCAAGCGUUAUCCGGAAUUACUGGGCGUAAAGCGUGCGCAGGCGGUUAUGCAAGUCAGGUGUGAAAUCCCCGGGCUCAACCUGGGAACUGCAUUUGUGACUGCAUAGCUAGAGUACGGUAGAGGGGAGUGGAAUUCCGCGUGUAGCAGUGAAAUGCGUAGAUAUGCGGAGGAACACCGAUGGCGAAGGCGAUCCCCUGGACCUGUACUGACGCUCAUGCACGAAAGCGUGGGGAGCAAACAGG